rnacentral:tRNA from 2 species
GCUCCUGGAGGAUGACAGCUUAUCCGCUGGUCUUAGGAACCAAAAACUCUUGGUGCAAAUCCAAGCAGGAACU